rnacentral:rRNA from 1 species
AUACGUAGGUGACAAGCGUUAUCCGGAUUUACUGGGCGUAAAGGGCGUGUAGGCGGUCUUGCAAGUCAGAAGUGAAAUUCCUGAGCUCAACUCGGGCGCUGCUUCUGAAACUGCAGGACUUGAGUGCUGGAGGGGAUAGCGGAAUUCCUAGUGGAGCGGUAAAAUGCGCAGAUAUUAGGAAGAACACCGGUGGCGAAGGCGGCUAUCUGGACAGUAACUGACGCGGAGGCGCGAAAGCGUGGGGAGCAAACAGGAUUAGAUACCCUGGUAGGCCACGCCGUAAACGAUGAAUACUAGGUGUAGGGGGUAUCGACUCCCUCUGUGCCGCAGUUAACACAAUAAGUAUUCCGCCUGGGGAGUACGGCCGCAAGGUUGAAACUCAAAUGAAUUGACGGGG